UGCAGAGGGGGCAAGCGUUGUUCGGAAUUACUGGGCGUAAAGGGCGCGUAGGCGGCCUGCUAAGUCGAACGUGAAAUCCCCGAGCUCAACUCGGGAACUGCGUCCGAUACUGGCAGGCUUGAAUCCGGGAGAGGGAUGCGGAAUUCCAGGUGUAGCGGUGAAAUGCGUAGAUAUCUGGAGGAACACCGGUGGCGAAGGCGGCAUCCUGGACCGGCAUUGACGCUGAGGCGCGAAAGCCAGGGGAGCAAACGGG
rnacentral:rRNA from 1 species